CGUGCAGGCGGUUCUGUAAGUCGGACGUGAAAGCUCCUGGCUUAACUGGGAGAGGCCGUUCGAAACUGCAGGACUUGAGGUCGGGAGAGGGACGUGGAAUUCCCGGUGUAGUGGUGGAAUGCGUAGAUAUCGGGAGGAACACCAGUGGCGAAGGCGGCGUCCUGGCCCGUACCUGACGCUAAGACGCGAAAGCGUGGGGAGCGAACG
rnacentral:rRNA from 1 species